rnacentral:rRNA from 1 species
GACGAACGCUGGCGGCGUGCUUAACACAUGCAAGUCGAACGUGAUUUUUGUGGAAAUUCUUUCGGGAAUGGAAAUGAAAUGAAAGUGGCGAACGGGUGAGUAACACGUGAGCAACCUACCUUACACAGGGGGAUAGCCGUUGGAAACGACGAUUAAUACCGCAUGAGACCACAGAAUCGCAUGAUAUAGGGGUCAAAGAUUAAUCGGUGUAAGAAGGGCUCGCGUCUGAUUAGCUAGUUGGAAGGGUAAAGGCCUACCAAGGCGACGAUCAGUAGCCGGUCUGAGAGGAUGAACGGCCACAUUGGAACUGAGACACGGUCCAAACUCCUACGGGAGGCAGCAGUGGGGAAUAUUGCACAAUGGGGGGAACCCUGAUGCAGCGACGCCGCGUGAACGAAGAAGGUUUUCGAAUCGUAAAGCUCUGUCCUAUGAGAAGAUAAUGACGGUAUCAUAGGAGGAAGCCCCGGCUAAAUACGUGCCAGCAGCCGCGGUAAUACGUAUGGGGCGAGCGUUGUCCGGAAUUAUUGGGCGUAAAGGGUACGUAGGCGGUUUUUUAAGUCAGGUGUGAAAGCGUGAGGCUUAACCUCAUUAAGCACUUGAAACUGGAAGACUUGAGUGAAGGAGAGGAAAGUGGAAUUCCUAGUGUAGCGGUGAAAUGCGUAGAUAUUAGGAGGAAUACCGGUGGCGAAGGCGACUUUCUGGACUUUUACUGACGCUCAGGUACGAAAGCGUGGGGAGCAAACAGG